GCGAACGGGUGAGUAAUACAUCGGAACGUACCCCGUAGCGGGGGAUAGCCCGGCGAAAGCCGGAUUAAUACCGCAUACGCCCUACGGGGGAAAGGGGGGGAUCGUAAGACCUCUCACUAUUGGAGCGGCCGAUGGCUGAUUAGCUAGUUGGUGGGGUAAAGGCCUACCAAGGCAACGAUCAGUAGCUGGUCUGAGAGGACGACCAGCCACACUGGGACUGAGACACGGCCCAGACUCCUACGGGAGGCAGCAGUGGGGAAUUUUGGACAAUGGGCGAAAGCCUGAUCCAGCAAUGCCGCGUGUGCGAAGAAGGCCUUCGGGUUGUAAAGCACUUUUAUCAGGGAAGAAAUCGUUCGGGCUAAUACCUCGGGCAGUUGACGGUACCUGAAGAAUAAGCACCGGCUAACUACGUGCCAGCAGCCGCGGUAAUACGUAGGGUGCAAGCGUUAAUCGGAAUUACUGGGCGUAAAGCGUGCGCAGGUGGUUCGUUAAGACAGUUGUGAAAUCCCCGGGCUUAACCUGGGAACUGCAAUUGUGACUGGCGGACUAGAGUUUGGCAGAGGGGGGGUGGAAUUCCUGGU
rnacentral:rRNA from 1 species